rnacentral:rRNA from 1 species
CCUACGGGAGGCAGCAGUGAGGAAUCUUGGUCAAUGGGCGCGAGCCUGACCCAGCCAAGUAGCGUGAAGGAUGACUGCCCUACGGGUUGUAAACUUCUUUUAUAAAGGAAUAAAGUGAGGCACGUGUGCCUUUUUGCAUGUACUUUAUGAAUAAGGAUCGGCUAACUCCGUGCCAGCAGCCGCGGUAAUACGGAGGGUCCGAGCGUUAUCCGGAUUUAUUGGGUUUAAAGGGAGCGUAGAUGGGUUGUUAAGUCAGUUGUGAAAGUUUGCGGCUCAACCGUAAAAUUGCAAUUGAUACUGGCAGUCUUGAGUACAGUUGAGGUAGGCGGAAUUCGUGGUGUAGCGGUGAAAUGCUUAGAGAUCACGAAGAACUCCGAUUGCGAAGGCAGCUUACUAAAAUGUCACUGACACUGAUGCUCGAAAGUGUGGGUAUCAAACAGGAUUAGAUACCCAGUC